rnacentral:rRNA from 1 species
CUAAGCCAUGCGAGUCGAACGAGUUUAGGCUCGUGGCGUACGGCUCAGUAACACGUGGAUAACCUACCCUUAGGACCGGGAUAACCUUGGGAAACUGGGGACAAUACUGGAUAGGCAAUUUUUCCUGUAAUGGUUUUUUGUUUAAAUGUUUUUUCGCCUAAGGAUGGGUCUGCGGCCGAUUAGGUAGUUGGUUAGGUAAUGGCUUACCAAGCCGUUGAUCGGUACGGGUUGUGAGAGCAAGAGCCCGGAGAUGGAACCUGAGACAAGGUUCCAGGCCCUACGGGGUGCAGCAGGCGCGAAACCUCCGCAAUGUGAGAAAUCGCGACGGGGGGAUCCCAAGUGCCAUUCUUAACGGGAUGGCUUUUCAUUAGUGUAAAAAGCUUUUGGAAUAAGAGCUGGGCAAGACCGGUGCCAGCCGCCGCGGUAACACCGGCAGCUCUAGUGGUAGCAAUUUUUAUUGGGCCUAAAGCGUCCGUAGCCGGUUUAAUAAGUCUCUGGUGAAAUCCUGUAGCUUAACUGUGGGAAUUGCUGGAGAUACUAUUAGACUUGAGACCGGGAGAGGUUAGAGGUACUCCCAGGGUAGAGGUGAAAUUCUGUAAUCCUGGGAGGACCGCCUGUUGCGAAGGCGUCUAACUGGAACGGUUCUGACGGUGAGGGACGAAAGUUAGGGGCGCGAACCGGAUUAGAUACCCGGGUAGUCCUAACUGUAAACGAUGCGGACUUGGUGUUGGGGUGGCUUUGAGCUGCUCCAGUGCCGAAGGGAAGCUGUUAAGUCCGCCGCCUGGGAAGUACGGUCGCAAGACUGAAACUUAAAGGAAUUGGCGGGGGAGCACCACAACGCGUGGAGCCUGCGGUUUAAUUGGAUUCAACGCCGGACAUCUCACCAGAGGCGACAGCUGUAUGAUAGCCAGGUUGAUGACUUUGCUUGACUAGCUGAGAGGUGGUGCAUGGCCA